GAAGCUCUCCUCACAUGGUGGAUUGUUAGUUUAGGUUGAGUUUUCUCCCUUUGAUAACAAAAGACCUUAAGGCUUUUAAUCAAAUCAAUUCACCAAUCUUUGAGAUUUUUAACCCGAACUAUGAGGUUUUGAUCCUACCUUUACGAUGGUACAUAGGUAAUGGGUUCAUCCAUUCAAACAACAAAAUUUGUAAAUAUAAUCUAUUCUCUUC
rnacentral:lncRNA from 1 species